rnacentral:rRNA from 1 species
AGAGUUUGAUCCUGGCUCAGGAUGAACGCUGGCGGCGUGCCUAACACAUGCAAGUCGAGCGAUUCUCUUCGGAGAAGAGCGGCGGACGGGUGAGUAACGCGUGGGUAACCUGCCUCAUACACAUGGAUAACAUACCGAAAGGUAUGCUAAUACAAGAUGAUAUAAGAGAUUCGCAUGGAUUUCUUAUCAAAGCUCCGGCGGUAUGAGAUGGACCCGCGUCUGAUUAGCUAGUUGGUAAGGUAACGGCUUACCAAGGCGACGAUCAGUAGCCGGCCUGAGAGGGUGAACGGCCACAUCGGGACUGAGACACGGCCCAAACUCCUACGGGAGGCAGCAGUGGGGAAUAUUGCACAAUGGGGGAAACCCUGAUGCAGCGACGCCGCGUGAGUGAAGAAGUAUUUCGGUAUGUAAAGCUCUAUCAGCAGGGAAGAAAAUGACGGUACCUGACUAAGAAGCCCCGGCUAACUACGUGCCAGCAGCCGCGGUAAUACGUAGGGGGCAAGCGUUAUCCGGAUUUACUGGGUGUAAAGGGAGCGUAGACGGUAUGGCAAGUCUGAUGUGAAAGCCCGGGGCUCAACCCCGGGACUGCAUUGGAAACUGUCAAUCUAGAGUGCAGGAGAGGUAAGUGGAAUUCCUAGUGUAGCGGUGAAAUGCGUAGAUAUUAGGAGGAACACCAGUGGCGAAGGCGGCUUACUGGACUGUAACUGACGUUGAGGCUCGAAAGUGUGGGGAGCAAACAGGAUUAGAUACCCUGGUAGUCCACACCGUAAACGAUGGAUACUAGGUGUAGGAGGUAUCGACCCCUUCUGUGCCGCAGUUAACACAAUAAGUAUCCCACCUGGGGAGUACGACCGCAAGGUUGAAACUCAAAGGAAUUGACGGGGGCCCGCACAAGCAGUGGAGUAUGUGGUUUAAUUCGAAGCAACGCGAAGAACCUUACCUGGGCUUGACAUCCCGACGACCGGUGUAGAGAUACACCUUUUCUUCGGAACGUCGGUGACAGGUGGUGCAUGGUUGUCGUCAGCUCGUGUCGUGAGAUGUUGGGUUAAGUCCCGCAACGAGCGCAACCCUUACCAUUAGUUGCUACGCAAGAGCACUCUAAUGGGACUGCCGUUGACAAAACGGAGGAAGGUGGGGAUGACGUCAAAUCAUCAUGCCCCUUAUGACCUGGGCUACACACGUACUACAAUGGCAAUAAAACAGAGGGAAGCAAUACAGCGAUGUAAAGCAAAACCCGAAAAAUUGUCUCAGUUCAGAUUGCAGGCUGCAACUCGCCUGCAUGAAGUCGGAAUUGCUAGUAAUCGCGGAUCAGCAUGCCGCGGUGAAUACGUUCCCGGGCCUUGCACUCACCGCCCGUCA